CUCAAGUGAUCCACCCGCCUUGGCCUCCCAAAAUGCUGGAAUCGCAAGCGUGAGCCACCAUGCGUGGUCUGAUACAGUAUUAUAAUGAUAGUCCUCAUGUUGUAUAUAACACCUAAACAAACAAACAAAAGAAAUAGAAAUUUAUUUUCUCACAGUUCUGAAGGCCAGAAAUGUGAACUCAAGGUGUGGGAAGGGUUUGGAAGGGUUCGUUUCUUCUAGGGGCACUGAGGGAGAAUCUGUUCCAUGCCUCUCUCCCAGCUGUUGGUGGUUGAAGCAAUCUUUGGCGUUCCUCGGCUUAUAAACUACCACUCCAGUCUCUGCCUCCAUCUGCACAUGAAUUCUCAUGGCUUUCUCCCCCAUGUCUGUGUAUCUUAAAUUUCCCACUGCUUGCUCUUAUAAGGACACUAGAUAUUGGAUUUAGGACCCACUCAGAUAAUCCAGGAUGCUUCCAUCUUGAGAUCCUUAACUUAAUUGCAUCUGCAAAGACUCUAUUUCCAAAUAAGAGUCCACUCCCACGUACUUGAGGUCAGGACGUGGACAUAUCUUUUUAGGGAACACUCUUUAGUGCAUAUAUGAGAAGUACCAGCUCCAUUCCCUCAGGGACAUAUUGGAUAAUUGUACUUUUAUGUGAAAAGGCAUUGAGAAGUGGCCAGGGUCAUUUUAAUUUUUUCUCUCUCAUCUUCUUAUUUUUCAAGGUAACAUUUGUUGACCUAAAUAAGACAUUCUACAUCACUGAAGUGUGUUGGAAAUUACAGAUUUAAUGAAGAAAAGAGAAGCGUUUGGGGAAAAGCUUCAAUUUCAUCUUCUUCCGGAAGUCUUUUUCUGGACACCCCUUUUGCACCGUUUAUUGAAAUUUAUUGUUUUUCUAUAUGUUCCCAGGGUGGACACAGCCACCCAGACCCUCCUUUUUGACAAUUAGCUGCUCCACCAAUGAGCAGGCUACUUGACUUUCUAGCCAUAGCUGAUUGGUCCAGAAGUAGACACAUGGUCCAGCCUGGGCCAAUCAGAUUGUCUUUCCUUGGAGGAGUCCUGUUGCUAUCUGGGCUGGUCUCCUCCAUGGAGAUGCCACUGGAGAGAUAGAUAUUAUUUACUCCAUCUUACCAACGAGGAAACAAGGGCUCAGAAAAGCUGGGUACAGUUCUCAAGGCUGCAGAGAUUCCAUCCAGGAUUAUCCAUUGUAUUUAGUAGUCAUGUCCCUUUAAUCUCCUUUCACCUAGAAUGUUCCUCAGCCUUUCGUGACAUUGACGGUUUUGAAGAGUACAAGCCGAUUAUUAGGUACAUGUCCCUCGAUGCUGUUUGCCUAGGGUGUUCUCGUUAUUCAAUUCAGGUUUUGCAUCUUUGGCAAAAUGAUCACAGGCUGAUUUCGUGUUUGCCUUCACAUGCCAGGUGAAGCCCAUUAUGUUGGUUUGCCUUGCUCUGAUGUUGUUAACUUUGAUUACUCAAUUAACAAUCUUGCCAGCUUUCUCCAGUGUAAAGUUGGUACUCUUUUCUUGGUAAUCGACAAGUAAUAUGCAGGGAGAUAUUUUGAGAUCAUGUAAAUAUCCUGUUUCUCAUUAAACUUCCAUCCUUCAAUUUUUGCUUCCAUGAAUGAUUCUCCACUGGAAAAAAAGGUAUUCUUAGGAUGCUUGCAAAGUGUUUACUGC